GGUUGUCUCAGUGAUUUACAAGCAACUCACUGUGCUUUGGUGUCGAACUAUCCAAAUUUUUAAUUUGAUGAUGGAAGAUUUCUGGGUAAUCAAGUACUUGUGAAGUCUGAAUGUGAGUCAAGAUAGGAUUGACUGCUCCAAGUAAAAUUGGAGAUGAUGCAUCAUUGUAUUUCAAUUCAGUAAAACUUUGAUCAAAGUAGUCCUAGUGAGAAGUCAUAAGAUUUUUGAGAUUGAG
rnacentral:lncRNA from 1 species